rnacentral:rRNA from 1 species
AGUCGAGCGGACAGAAGGGAGCUUGCUCCCGGAUGUUAGCGGCGGACGGGUGAGUAACACGUGGGUAACCUGCCUGUAAGACUGGGAUAACUCCGGGAAACCGGAGCUAAUACCGGAUAGUUCCUUGAACCGCAUGGUUCAAGGAUGAAAGACGGUUUCGGCUGUCACUUACAGAUGGACCCGCGGCGCAUUAGCUAGUUGGUGAGGUAACGGCUCACCAAGGCGACGAUGCGUAGCCGACCUGAGAGGGUGAUCGGCCACACUGGGACUGAGACACGGCCCCAGACUCCUACGGGAGGCAGCAGUAGGGAAUCUUCCGCAAUGGACGAAAGUCUGACGGAGCAACGCCGCGUGAGUGAUGAAGGUUUUCGGAUCGUAAAGCUCUGUUGUUAGGGAAGAACAAGUGCAAGAGUAACUGCUUGCACCUUGACGGUACCUAACCAGAAAGCCACGGCUAACUACGUGCCAGCAGCCGCGGUAAUACGUAGGUGGCAAGCGUUGUCCGGAAUUAUUGGGCGUAAAGGGCUCGCAGGCGGUUUCUUAAGUCUGAUGUGAAAGCCCCCGGCUCAACCGGGGAGGGUCAUUGGAAACUGGGAAACUUGAGUGCAGAAGAGGAGAGUGGAAUUCCACGUGUAGCGGUGAAAUGCGUAGAGAUGUGGAGGAACACCAGUGGCGAAGGCGACUCUCUGGUCUGUAACUGACGCUGAGGAGCGNAAAGCGUGGGGAGCGAACAGGAUUAGAUACCCUGGUAGUCCACGCCGUAAACGAUGAGUGCUAAGUGUUAGGGGGUUUCCGCCCCUUAGUGCUGCAGCUAACGCAUUAAGCACUCCGCCUGGGGAGUACGGUCGCAAGACUGAAACUCAAAGGAAUUGACGGGGGCCCGCACAAGCGGUGGAGCAUGUGGUUUAAUUCGAAGCAACGCGAAGAACCUUACCAGGUCUUGACAUCCUCUGACAACCCUAGAGAUAGGGCUUUCCCUUCGGGGACAGAGUGACAGGUGGUGCAUGGUUGUCGUCAGCUCGUGUCGUGAGAUGUUGGGUUAAGUCCCGCAACGAGCGCAACCCUUGAUCUUAGUUGCCAGCAUUCAGUUGGGCACUCUAAGGUGACUGCCGGUGACAAACCGGAGGAAGGUGGGGAUGACGUCAAAUCAUCAUGCCCCUUAUGACCUGGGCUACACACGUGCUACAAUGGACAGAACAAAGGGCUGCGAGACCGCAAGGUUUAGCCAAUCCCACAAAUCUGUUCUCAGUUCGGAUCGCAGUCUGCAACUCGACUGCGUGAAGCUGGAAUCGCUAGUAAUCGCGGAUCAGCAUGCCGCGGUGAAUACGUUCCCGGGCCUUGUACACACCGCCCGUCACACCACGAGAGUUUGCAACACCCGAAGUCGGUGAGGUAACCUUUAUGGAGCCAGCCGC